UACGUAGGGGGCUAGCGUUGUCCGGAAUCAUUGGGCGUAAAGCGCGUGUAGGCGGCUUUACAGGUCCGUUGUGAAAACUCGAGGCUCAACCUCGAGACGCCGGUGGAAACCGUAAAGCUAGAGUCCGGAAGAGGAGAGUGGAAUUCCUGGUGUAGCGGUGAAAUGCGCAGAUAUCAGGAGGAACACCCGUGGCGAAAGCGGCUCUCUGGGACGGUACUGACGCUGAGACGCGAAAGCGUGGGGAGCAAACAGG
rnacentral:rRNA from 1 species